rnacentral:tRNA from 1 species
GCGGGGAUAGCCGAGCUGGUCAAACUGGGGUCAGACACGAACUAAAGGCGCUGGACUUAAGAUCCAGUCCCGAAGGGGUACGGGGGUUCGAAUCCCCCUCCCCGCACCA